GGAACUAGAUGUAGGGCCAUUCCACGGUUUCUGUGUCGCAGCUAACGCAUUAAGUUCCCCGCCUGGGGAGUACGGCCGCAAGGCUAAAACUCAAAGGAAUUGACGGGGGCCCGCACAAGCGGCGGAGCAUGCGGAUUAAUUCGAUGCAACGCGAAGAACCUUACCAAGGCUUGACAUAUACCGGAAACGUCCAGAGAUGGUCGCCCCGCAAGGUCGGUAUACAGGUGGUGCAUGGUUGUCGUCAGCUCGUGUCGUGAGAUGUUGGGUUAAGUCCCGCAACGAGCGCAACCCUCGUUCUAUGUUGCCAGCACGUUAUGGUGGGAACUCAUAGGAGACUGCCGGGGUCAACUCGGAGGAAGGUGGGGAUGACGUCAAAUCAUCAUGCCCCUUAUGUCUUGGGCUUCACGCAUGCUACAAUGGCCGAUACAAAGGGCUGCAAUACCGUAAGGUGGAGCGAAUCCCAAAAAGUCGGUCUCAGUUCGGAUUGAGGUCUGCAACUCGACCUCAUGAAGUCGGAGUCGCUAGUAAUCGCAGAUCAGCAACGCUGCGGUGAAUACGUUCCCGGGCCUUGUACACACCGCCCGUCAAGUCAUGAAAGUCGG
rnacentral:rRNA from 1 species